UACGUAGGGUGCGAGCGUUGUCCGGAAUUAUUGGGCGUAAAGAGCUCGUAGGCGGCUUGUUGCGUCAGCUGUGAAAACCCGCAGCUCAACUGUGGGCUUGCAGCUGAUACGGGCAGGCUUGAGUUCGGUAGGGGAGACUGGAAUUCCUGGUGGAGCGGUGAAAUGCGUAGAUAUCAGGAGGAACACCGGUGGCGAAAGCGGCUCACUGGACCGUUACUGACGCUGGAGGUGACGAAAGGCCUAGGGGAGCAAACAGGG
rnacentral:rRNA from 1 species